GACGAACGCUGGCGGCGUGCUUAACACAUGCAAGUCGAACGGAAAGGCCCUGCUUUUGUGGGGUGCUCGAGUGGCGAACGGGUGAGUAACACGUGAGUAACCUGCCCUUGACUUUGGGAUAACUUCAGGAAACUGGGGCUAAUACCGGAUAGGAGCUCCUGCUGCAUGGUGGGGGUUGGAAAGUUUCGGCGGUUGGGGAUGGACUCGCGGCUUAUCAGCUUGUUGGUGGGUAGUGGCUUACCAAGGCUUUGACGGGUAGCCGGCCUGAGAGGGUGAACGGCCACAUUGGGACUGAGAUACGGCCCAGACGCCUACGGGAGGCAGCAGUGGGGAGUAUUGCACAAUGGGCGGAAGCCUGAUGCAGAAACGCCGCGUGCGGGAUGACGGCCUUCGGGUUGUAAACCGCUUUCGACUGUGACGAAGCGUGAGUGACGGUAAUGGGUAAAGAAGCACCGGCUAACUACGUG
rnacentral:rRNA from 1 species